ACUGCCUAGAUACAGUCAUGCUUCUAGGGGCUCAAAUACAGCAGGGAGCAAGACAGAUCAAGUUCCUGCCUGGUGCGGCUUCCGUUUUAGAGGAAGGCAAACAAAUACUCAAGAAGGAAACAAGUGAGAAAAUUUCACAGCAAAAAGACCUGAAGAUUCCUCAGCUCCCUGAUGUCUCCGGUGGCAAACCAAUCCGGAUCCAAACCCACUCUCCUCACUGAAGAUGCUGACUGGCUGGUUGGGUUCUCCAGGAACCAGACUCUGAGACGGCAUCCAGGAUGCAGAUCCCACUUGUAAAAAUACCGGGACAACUCAUUCCGCCUUCAAAACAUCCACCCAGUUCCGCAGACUCUGUGUGUGUCUGAAGGGACACGUGCCACACCCCACUCCUUGAAUUCUUCGGUUGGUAAUUGAAGUCUCAGUAAUACACAUGUUAGCGGAAACAGCGCAGAAACGUUGUCAAACCACCCGAGGAGACUCAGGCGUUGAUCGAUUCCUAUCUCCCAGCGUGCAUUUGACAUCUGAUAUACUAUUUUUCGAAACUUUUCAACAUUUAAUGAAGAUUCCAUUUGGUCUCAGCACUGUGCUAAGCAUUUGAUCGUCACAGAAACCUCCAGAGAUGGGUCCUAUUUUCCCAUUUAUUAGAGGAAAUUCAAACAAUGCUGAGAUCCGGAAGGAAAAAUCACGUGACCGGUUUGCCCCAUGGAUCUGCCGGGAAGCCAGAGAUGCACAAGAUGCCACGGAAGACGGGGGCGGGAGGAACAUAGGCGAGAAACGGGAAGCUCCACCAAGGACCUCUGCACAGCGUGGUGGGUAAUAACACCAGGUUGCUGUUACCCCCCAGGCUCCUGGGAGCCAGAUUUCCGGGUCCAUAACAAUGGAACACUCGCUCUUGCUUCAACCCCAAGUCUUGCUAUUACUAGGUUUUGAGGAUGAAGGGAGAAAACUGUUGGAGGGAUGAUAAAAGAGAGCUUUAAGUCCUCAUCCGUCAAGGCGGGAACUGAGGAGUUAUUUCCAAAAUUGACAGAUGGAGGAAUAGCAGGAGUCACGUAUUAUUUAGAAAAAUAGAGGCCAAGAUGAGAGAAAAAAGAGCUAAAAGAGCAGAAUGUGAUGGCCCUGGGAGUGGGAAAGGCAGGCAGGUGCAGACGAGACAGAGAACCAGUUUGUUUAAAAAAAAAAGAAAGGAAGGAAAGAAAACACAAAUCUUUGGGGACUAUUUGAUUUUCAAUUGUUUGCGCAUCAUCUUGAUAAAACUCAGAAUCAGUG